CGCACGGAGCAGCGGGAGCGCCGGGGACCGCGCAGCACGGCCCGCAGUGCGGACCCGGGAGGAGCCUUUACCUUCAGCCUCCACGGCCGCGAGCAGGAGCAGGGCCGCGCCCAGGGCGGCCAGCGCCGCGGGCAGCCGGGGAGGCUGACAGCCCCGUGAGACCCUGACCCUGUGCUCUGCCUGGGAGAUCUGACUCUGACUGGCCACAUGCAUCUGUCUCUCCCGGCCAGGCUGCUGCUUCCUAGCUGCUGAUCUCUUCAGGUGUUCCAGAUCUGAAAUAUGUAAGGCUCGGCUGAAACCUUUGCCAACGAUUAGGGUUGACAAGGAAUACAUAAUAAAAAGAGACAGGAAAAAGCAGAGUAAAAACACCCUUGUCUAUUUUCUCAAAAUAUUUCUGAUUAAAAAGUCUUGGCAAUAAAAUGAUCUUGGCAAGUUAUGUUCACUUAUCCUGGAAGACCACAGUCGUAUAUACUCCAGUGUGUUCUAUGCUGAUGUUUCCUGAUUCUGUAACUAGAUUACUAAAUCCUUAAAGACAAAGCAA